rnacentral:sRNA from 1 species
GGAUGGAGGGUGGUCUCCCUAUGAUGGCUGUCACCCCACUGUACUCCAGAGUUGACUCUGCUAGUCUCCAUAAGCAGGUGUUACCUUCCUCCCUCAUCGCUCCAUGUGUAUCUCUCCUGAAUCUGUGCAUCCAGCCGAAGAGGUUGGCCUUCACCAACAGCUAAGAGCCAAUCUACUUGUUCCUCGGCUAGAGUCUCCAAACUCUCAUGAGCAGCCAUAACAAAGGCUGUGCAGUGUACGU